UGGGGUGUAGCUCAGUGGUAAAGUGCUUGCCUAGCAUGUAUGAGGCCCUGGGUUCCAUUCCCAAUACCAAAA
rnacentral:tRNA from 1 species